rnacentral:rRNA from 1 species
GACGAACCGUGCGAACGUUGUUCGGAAUCACUGGGCGUAAAGCGCACGUAGGCGGACUUUUAAGUCAGGGGUGAAAUCCCAAGGCUCAACCUUGGAACUGCCUUUGAUACUGGGAGUCUUGAGUUCGGGAGAGGUGAGUGGAACUGCGAGUGUAGAGGUGAAAUUCGUAGAUAUUCGCAAGAACACCAGUGGCGAAGGCGGCUCACUGGCCCGAUACUGACGCUGAGGUGCGAAAGCGUGGGGAGCAAACAGG